AAGAAACGCUGAAACAAGACGCAUAAAUUAACUCAUAUGUUGCCGUUUAAGCCGGGGGAACGCCAAUAUCCAAGUGGAACGCAUAGAUGGAACGCAUGACGUCAUUCCCCAUAGAACAUGAUGACGCGAACCAACCAGGAAGCAACGAGGAGAAAAUCCCGAUCAGCUGAACCACACAGAUAAAGGCAAUCGAAAGAAGACAUGAAUUGAUUGUGGAGUGUAAAUAAGUUGGAGGGGAGGUUGGGAUAUAUUUAUGUUAUUUG